UACGGAGNGUGCGAGCGUUAAUCGGAAUUACUGGGCGUAAAGCGCACGCAGGCGGUUUGUUAAGCUAGAUGUGAAAGCCCAGGGCUCAACCUGGGAUGGUCAUUUAGAACUGGCAGACUAGAGUCUUGGAGAGGGGAGUGGAAUUCCAGGUGUAGCGGUGAAAUGCGUAGAUAUCUGGAGGAACAUCAGUGGCGAAGGCGACUCCCUGGCCAAAGACUGACGCUCAUGUGCGAAAGUGUGGGUAGCGAACAGG
rnacentral:rRNA from 1 species